UACGUAGGGGGCAAGCGUUGUCCGGAAUCAUUGGGCGUAAAGAGCGUGUAGGCGGCCAGAAAAGUCCGCUGUGAAAACUCGAGGCUCAACUUCGAGCUGUCGGUGGAAACUUUCUGGCUAGAGUCCGGAAGAGGAGAAUGGAAUUCCUGGUGUAGCGGUGAAAUGCGCAGAUAUCAGGAAGAACACCCGUGGCGAAGGCGGCUUUCUGGCCUGUUCUUGACGCUGAGGCGCGAAAGCUAGGGUAGCAAACGGG
rnacentral:rRNA from 1 species